CUAACUUGUUUUUUAAGUGUUUUUUUUUUUGCAGGUAAAGCUUAUAGGAGACGAGAAGAUGCGCGAAGAUCCUUCGAACUCAAUUUCAAACCCAAGAUGUAUACGAAAGAAAAUGAUCGGACAACCGAUCCCACAAUAGGGAGUAUCUCGUACUUUUUCUUUUAAUUUAUGCUUUCCAUUUAUUUUAUUAUGUUGCAUAUAGUAAUAGAAUCAUGUUUACGUCCCGAGACUUGCAUGCAUUAAUUUUGUUUCUAAAUUUUAUACUAACUUGUUUUUUAAGUGUUUUUAUUUUGUAGGUAAAGCUUAUAGGAGACGAGAGAUGCACGAAGAUCCUUCGAACUCGAUGUCAAACCCAAGAUGCAUACGAGAGAAAAUGGCCGAUGAUCGGACGACCCAUCCCAUAAUAGGGAAAAUCUCGUACUUUUUCUUUUAAUUUAUGCUUUCCCUUUAUUUUAUUAUGUUGCAUAUAGUAAUAGAAACAUGUUUACGUCCCGG